GGCCACCUCCCACCCUUGUCUCUAUACACCUGUUGCUUUGGCGGGCCCACCGGGGCCACCUGGUCGCCGGGGGACGCACGUCCCCGGGCCCGCGCCCGCCGAAGCGCUCUGUGAACCCUGAUGAAGAUGGGCUGUCUGAGUACUAUGAAAAUUGUCAAAACUUUCAACAAUGGAUCUCUUGGUUCCGGCAUCGAUGAAGAACGCAGCGAAAUGCGAUAAGUAAUGUGAAUUGCAGAAUUCCGUGAAUCAUCGAAUCUUUGAACGCACAUUGCGCCCCCUGGCAUUCCGGGGGGCAUGCCUGUCCGAGCGUCAUUUCUGCCCUCAAGCACGGCUUGUGUGUUGGGUGUGGUCCCCCCGGGGACCUGCCCGAAAGGCAGCGGCGACGUCCGUCUGGUCCUCGAGCGUAUGGGGCUCUGUCACUCGCUCGGGAAGGACCUGCGGGGGUUGGUCACCACCAUAUUUUACCACGGUUGACCUCGGAUCAGGUAGGACUUACCCGCUGAACU
rnacentral:rRNA from 1 species